GUGUGUAUUUGGACAGGCUCUUUCUCUGGUAUUUACUUUAUUUAUAUCCUGAUUUUCAAAUUUCUUUAGUAAGGGAAAGCCACUUUCAUUCAACAUUUCAAACUAAGGAGUAAAAUGGCCAUGUCCCCAGGAGAGGUGGUACAAUGAUUUAAAUUCAUAUUAAGGGACACAUGACUGACAUUAGAUUAUUUUCUGAAGGCUGGUUGGGAUACAAAGAAAAGAACAUUGAGACACCAAGAGUCUAAAAAUAAAGAAAAUCUUGGAAGUUGGGCAGGAGGCAUAACUCAUCCCCGAAGAAACAUGGGCUAGGAGGUCCUAGAGAGGGAGCUGAGCCGGCUUGAUGCUUACCCACCAGGCCUGCAGAGAGGCUGGGAGGCAACUUCUGUCUUAAUGGGGGCUCCGUGGUGAGGGUGGCCUUAUGUCUGCAGAGCACAUCAGGGCCUGCGACUGACCUUUAGACACCAAGUCUGCAGAAAACCUGUGACUAUCCAGGUGUUUCAGACGGAGCAGCAAGCUUUCAUUCUCAGUUGUCGUCUUGCUUACUUUCGAAAGACUACAUGAACACUCUCCGAGAAAGCUCCAGCUUGCUCCUGGGAUCGUCUUACCUAGAGGAUGGCCCUCUGGAUUGGAGACUAGUAAAACGGCUCAAACCUAAUGUCCUUGACUGAUGGGAAACUCACAUGUCCUUGCCAGCUGAUAAAGGCUACACUGCUGUGGCUUCUUCUUACACGUCUACUGAUGUGGACUAAUUCAGCAAGCUCCUCAUCUGCUCAAUCUUCAGGGAUAUAAUUUGGAGAAAAUAACCAUCGUUUUUCCUCCUGCACUUUCUGGUUUCUGCCACGAUUUCCACCCAUCAAGCAGGUGGCUUUCCUCCUCUGGGGGAGGGCACACGCAGCCGAGAAAGAGGAAAUCAACUGAGUUCCCGAUGAGAUAUGUUAAAACUCCUGUGAGCAAGGCAUUUAGAAAGCCAAGGCUUGGAAGAGCCAAGCUUUUUGAGAUCACAAAGGGUUUUUGAGCAACAGAAGGCUAAGCCUCUGGAGACUGCUAGCCAUAGAGCCUUAAGGAUAAAUUUGUGGAUAAAUGCACGCUGAGAUAAGAGUAUUUUCCCACACAAAAGGAGAUGAGGUUUAAAGAGUGAGUGGGAAGAGCAUUAUCCGAGGGGAAGUGACUAGAGUUUGGAAACCGAGGGUGAGUGAGAUGGCAUGUUGUGCCCUGCCCUCAGCCUAGCCGCCCUCUGGAUGGUGUAGACGCAGACCGCAGACGGAUUUGGUGGGGGUCUUGGAACAGAGGACACAAGUUUUCUAUGAGCCUGAGGGAGCACAAGCCUCAAAGAUAAGUCCUUUUGGUGUGCAUGUUCCCAACCAGUCGUCAUCAUGUAGCAAUAGAAAACUACAUCAGAGAUGUUUCUUAGAAACGGCCACAGAGACCCCACCCCAAGUCUCUCACGAUCUUGGACCAGCACAGAAGAGUUUUCAAGAGUUUUCCAAAGUUUUAUGUAUUCCUAAGAAGAGCACAAGAGAGCCGGUUGGGAAUUUGCACUGACCUUACAGGUGGGGUAAACAGGAUGUGAAGUGACCUUAGACACGGCAGAGGGAAGGUGGAGGGGGAUGACCCACCAUUGUGGGUCAAAGUGGGCUAGAGGCUGAUGAGCAAGUAGCAGUAGACCCCAGCACAGGACUGAGAGAAAGUGAGGAAAAGAAGGAGACGCGUCUGCCCGCCAAUGUAUGCCAAUGUAUGCUGAAUCUCCUCCAAGAAAUAAACUAUGUCAUCCCCUAGAGAAAAAAGGAGAAGAAUACGAAAACAAUCUGGAAUUGACUAUUUACCCACAAGAGACAGAGGAAACCUCCUAGGCCUUCUACCUAAAUACACAGUGAACUCCAGAGGAGGGAGGUGAGAAGUCUUUCAAUUAUCCACAAAAUCUUGCUGAAUCCUGGGAAUGUUUUGAAGAAACAGACAAGGACAAUAGUUGCCAAAUUCUAAGGAAGUGCUAAAGAUGGACUAAAGUAAAUACUCUUUGAAGAGGACCUAGAGGGAGAAAUGUGGCCUCUGUUAUGCUUGGAGCAGUACUUACAGUCAUAGACUCUCCAAGUAGGAGGGAACCCAGAGGUCAUCCAGGGCCGUCUAAGACAUGCACACUCUACAGCACCACCAAUAACACAGCACACAGCCAGUGAUGGGGAACACAUCACUUCUCAAGGUGGCCCAUCCAAUUUUCAGACUGUCGUAGUUUAUUCUUGUCUGGAGCUGAACUUUACUCUGAUUACCUCCUACCCACUGGACAAGUUCUGCCCUGUAAAGCAU
ensembl:lncRNA